rnacentral:rRNA from 1 species
GACGAACGCUGGCGGCGUGCUUAACACAUGCAAGUCGAACGGAAAGGCCCUGCUUUUGUGGGGUUCUCGAGUGGCGAACGGGUGAGUAACACGUGAGUAACCUGCCCUUGACUUUGGGAUAACUUCAGGAAACUGGGGCUAAUACCGGAUAUGAGCUCCUGCUGCAUGGUGGGGGUUGGAAAGUUUCGGCGGUUGGGGAUGGACUCGCGGCUUAUCAGCUUGUUGGUGGGGUAGUGGCUUACCAAGGCUUUGACGGGUAGCCGGCCUGAGAGGGUGACCGGCCACAUUGGGACUGAGAUAGGGCCCAGACUCGUACGGGAGGCAGCAGUGGGGAAUAUUGCACAAUGGGCGGAAGCCUGAUGCAGCAACGCCGCGUGCGGGAUGACGGCCUUCGGGUUGUAAACCGCUUUCGCCUGUGACGAAGCGUGAGUGACGGUAAUGGGUAAAGAAGCACCGGCUAACUACGUG